ACCAUUACAAGGUGGUGACUCAUAAACAUGAGGACUGGCUUUUCACACCAUUUUGUGAGAAGUGCCUCCCUCAAACCUUAUUAGGAUGUUGGUACACUACCCAUUUCAUG
rnacentral:snoRNA from 1 species